AUAUCCUUUUUUACCCCAUCCAAAUACUCUAUGAGUGAAAUACUGCCCUUAUUGAAAUUCAAUAAAAAAAUUUAUUAUAUAUUUUAAAAUUUUUGAAUGAUAAAGUCCAAUGAUAAUGCACGUAUAUAAAACAAUUUCCCUUGUCCAUACUAGAGAAAAUUAGGAGCGGAACUAAAUCAACAGGUCUAUCAAAUUGGAGUGGCAAACACAAAUUGUGUAACUUGUAAGGAAGGCCUACUGGGAACUUAAUCAAGAAUUGAGACAAACAAAACAGACAUAUGACCACCGCACGCUACAGCUUAAAAAUCCAAUCUAAUCUACUAGACGCCUCUAUUAAUGUCUUGGAAAAUGACAGCAGCCCAAACCCAUCGAGCCAAUCAAAAAAUCUAUUCACCAAUGCAUUAUAUGAUUAAUGGGUCUGAUAGAAGCAUUUGUCAAACCAAUUCUCCAACGACAGCCAGAAAUUUUGGCAAUUUUGUACCACAAAGAAAAUUAUCUAUAAG
rnacentral:misc_RNA from 1 species